ACAGCUGGAGGUUCCAAAUGGCCUCAUUCACAUGGCUGGCAGUUGGUGCUGGCUGGGGGCUGGGUCAGAAUGGGUCGUGGGUCAGGGGCCUUGGUUCUUCUCCACGUGGACCUCUCAGGAGCAUUUCCAGAGCAAAUGUUGCCUGAGUUAACAGAAUGUCUGGAACGUACAAAUGGCCUCCCGCACAUAGCUGAAAGUUGGUGCUGAUUGCCGACUGGGAAUUCAGCUGUAGCUGUUAGCUGAAGUUUUUUCUCCAGGAACAGGCUGACCACAGGUGGAAAACACACCUACAAGGCAUCCAUCGUAGCUCGCAGAAGAAUGGAACAGUGUGAUACCUGGAGCCUGUCAUGCCUGGAGACCAACAUCCCUGGACCCCUCCUUACUGCCCAUUUUCCCUGUAUAACAGCCUCAAGAUUCUGAAAUCCUCAAAGAUGAGUUUUUGAGACAUUAGUCACUGGUCUUCUGAUUAGCCGGCUAAUCUCAUUAAACUUCCUUUCUCGA